AGAAGGCUUGUAAUAUGAUAGAGUUUUACAAAGAAACACACUGGUCCAAUAAGAAGGGUAAAUGGAUCAAUGCAGCUAGUGAACACAAUUAUAAUCUGAUACUUGAGAGGUUGGGUGAGAAAGAAACUGAAGAGGAUGUUGAACUCGACAAUGGUGAUGUUUUCAAAGAGGUGUUGGGGUUCAAAUCUGGCUACGCACUAGGUCUGGGCCACUCUGUCAUACCUGAGCCCUCCCCAUUUCUGAAAAAGAACAAGGCAUUCAAACGUAUAGCUGAGGAGAAUGAAAGGAACAAGGAAUCUGCUGACUUAUAUAAGAGUAAACUAGAAGCACUGCUAGGUGAUAUGGCUGAGCUGCGAAAACAGUUUUCUAAGCAUGACAAACAAAUCAUGGCCAUAUCCUCACAUUUGGGGUCAAGUAGGGAGUCUCAACAAGAGACUCAAGGAGAUUUAUAAAAUUCCUAAUAUAUUGUAAAGGUUUUUUGAAGAAGGUCAUGGGGAUGGAAUAUGUUUUUGUUCCCCCUAUCGCUUUUGGAAACAAUUAUAAUGUAUUUAUUUUGAUCAACUGUGGGGAAAGGUUGGGGGUCAUGUUUUGUAAAAAAAGGGAUGGGAGGUGUUCCAUGUAAUUGGACACAGGUUUUUGUUUUGGGAAUUCCAUAAACUACUUUAAUAUGGGAAUGGGUACUAGAUUAUCAGAUGUGUUACCAUCAGGUGAUGGUUUGCUGCUGAAUGAGGAAACACAAGUAGUGCAUCAAUGGAUCUGCAUAUAAGGGUUCCACCAGGUCUAUUUUUUUUGGGUGAUGGAAGGCAUUAUUGGAAAGUAAUGGAAGUAACAUUGUUUGGCAACCACCAUGCGAAGUGACC